rnacentral:rRNA from 1 species
CCUACGGGUGGCAGCAGUGAGGAAUAUUGGUCAAUGGGCGGGAGCCUGAACCAGCCAAGCCGCGUGAGGGAAGAAGGUACAGCGUAUCGUAAACCUCUUUUGUCAGGGAACAAAGGCGGGGACUAGUCCCCGGAUGAGGGUACCUGAAGAAAAAGCAUCGGCUAAACCCGUGCCAGCAGCCGCGGAAAUACGGAGGAUGCGAGCGUUAUCCGGAUUUAAUGUGUUAAAGGGGUGCGCAGGCGGCCUGUAAAGUCAGCGGUAAAAGCCCGGGGCUAAACCCCGGCGAGCCGUUGAUACUGGCGGGCUUGAGUUGGAGAGAAGUACGCGGAAUGCGCGGUGUAGCGGUGAAAUGCUUAGAUAUCACGCAGAACCGCGAUUGCGAAAGCAGCGUACCGGCUCCACACUGACGCUGAGGCACGAAAGCGUGGGUAUCGAACAGGAUUAGAUACCCCGGUAGUC